GGCCGACUAGCUCAGCUGGUUAGAGCGUCGUGCUAAUAUGCAUAACUAGCCCAUUUUCAUACUACGCGAAGGUCUUGGGUUCGAUCCCCACGUUGGCCA